GAAUUUAAUAAAAUUUUUUUUAAUUUUUAAAAUAAUUUUAAAAAUAUUUUAAGAAAUUUAUAUUUAAUUGGGAGGAUUGUUAAAUUAACUAAACUUUAUUUAUUAAUUAAUACAAAAAUGUUUGAAUUUAUGAUUUAAUGAUAAAUAUAAGAAUUAAUUACCUUAGGGAUAACAGCGUAAAAUUUUUGGAAAGUUCAUAUUAAUAAAAGUGUUUGC
rnacentral:rRNA from 1 species